rnacentral:rRNA from 1 species
UUAUUACAACUUUCAACAACGGAUCUCUUGGUUCUGGCAUCGAUGAAGAACGCAGCGAAAUGCGAUACGUAGUGUGAAUUGCAGAAUUCAGUGAAUCAUCGAAUCUUUGAACGCACAUUGCGCCCUUUGGUAUUCCAAAGGGCAUGCCUGUUCGAGC